rnacentral:rRNA from 1 species
UACGUAGGGUGCAAGCGUUGUCCGGAAUUAUUGGGCGUAAAGAGCUCGUAGGCGGUCUGUCGCGUCUGCUGUGAAAACUCAGGGCUUAACCCUGAGCUUGCAGUGGGUACGGGCAGACUAGAGUGCGGUAGGGGAGACUGGAAUUCCUGGUGUAGCGGUGAAAUGCGCAGAUAUCAGGAGGAACACCGGUGGCAAAGGCGGGUCUCUGGGCCGUAACUGACGCUGAGGAGCGAAAGCAUGGGGAGCGAACAGG